GGCGGCAGGCCUAAUACAUGCAAGUCGAGCGCGCCCUUCGGGGUGAGCGGCGGACGGGUGAGUAACGCGUGGGAAUAUGCCCUUCUCUAAGGAAUAGCCUCUGGAAGCGGAGAGUAAUACCUUAUACGCCCUUUGGGGGAAAGAUUUAUCGGAGAAGGAUUAGCCCGCGUUAGAUUAGGUAGUUGGUGGGGUAAUGGCCUACCAAGCCUACGAUCUAUAGCUGGUUUGAGAGGAUGAUCAGCCACACUGGGACUGAGACACGGCCCAGACUCCUACGGGAGGCAGCAGUAGGGAAUCUUAGACAAUGGGGGCAACCCUGAUCUAGCCAUGCCGCGUGUGUGAUGAAGGCCCUAGGGUCGUAAAGCACUUUCGCCAGAGAUGAUAAUGACAGUAUCUGGUAAAGAAACCCCGGCUAACUCCGUGCCAGCAGCCGCGGUAAUACGGAGGGGGUUAGCGUUGUUCGGAAUUACUGGGCGUAAAGCGCACGUAGGCGGAUUAGUAAGUUAGAGGUGAAAUCCCAGGGCUCAACCCUGGAACUGCCUUUAAUACUGCUAGUCUUGAGUUCGAGAGAGGUAAGUGGAAUUCCGAGUGUAGAGGUGAAAUUCGUAGAUAUUCGGAGGAACACCAGUGGCGAAGGCGGCUUACUGGCUCGAUACUGACGCUGAGGUGCGAAAGUGUGGGGAGCAAACAGGAUUAGAUACCCUGGUAGUCCACACCGU
rnacentral:rRNA from 1 species